rnacentral:lncRNA from 10 species
GAAGAUAGAGACUAUGACUAUUUUGCAAAUUCCCAGGACUCAGGAGGGAGACUGAAACACAGCAGGUCUGGGAACAGCAUGAAGAAGCAGAAUUGGCGGCUCCAAGCUAACUGGGGCAGGGGAUCAGUAGCAGCUGCGGUUUUUCUUCUAACAGUGAGGCCCCUCUUCUGCACGUCUGCUGGAGUUUGCGGGAGGUCCUCUCCAGACCCUCUGUGCCUGGGUAUCACCAGCAGAGGAUGAAGAACAGCAAAGAUUGCUGCCUGCUCCUUCUUCUGGAAGCUUCAUCCCAGAGGGUCACCCACCAGAAUCCAGCUGGAGCUCUCCUGUAUGAGAGUCUUGCUCUUGUUGCCCAGGCUGGAGUGCAAAGGCACGAUCUCAGCUCACUGCAACCUCUGCUUCCUGAGUUCAAGCGAUCCUCCUGCCUCAGCCUCCUGAGUAGUUGGGAUUACCUCAGUAGAAUUCAGUUGGGUAUUUACUUUAUUCUAAUUUUACUUGCCUUCUAAUGUAAAUGAUUAUAUAAAGUAUUUCUUCCAGUUGGUGUGUAUGG